CUGCAGGCUUUCUUUGAUGUGUUGGCACACCGAUCUGAAUUUCAGGAAGCAAUUUCACCCAUUGCAGAGAAGUGGCUGUCAUCUGUUACAGAAAUGUUAUUAUUUAGAGCACAUUAACUUACGUAAAAUUUACAUUCAAUAUUGCAGUUAGGAAACAUUCAGUCUGUGUCAUUUGUUUUGCUCCUAGGCAGAUAAUUUUUUUUGAGAUGCCAGAGUAAUUUUCCAAGUAAAGUAUGGAAAUCUUAGCAAUGUAUAUUAUCAUAUAUUUUACUCUAACUUAUAACAUUAACCAUUUAUUUCUGGAAAAUGUAACAUUAUACAGAAAAAAAAGGCAAACAAGAAUGUCCAAGCAAAGAAAAGUGAGAAGAAAACAGGAACAAAAAAACCCCAGGCCCCAAAAUGGAAGAUAUCUCCAGAAGAAUUUCUUCAACUUCAAAAAGAAGCAGAUGUUCUGAAAGAGGAGAACAAUAACCUUAAGGAGCAACUGCAAAGUGCUUUAUUGGAAUCUGAGAAGAACAAGAGAGAGCUUAAGUGGGCUCUAAAGUUUCAGAUGGAAUCUCUUCGGAGUGAAUCAAAGAGCAAGGUAUCGGUGGGAAUGGGGGCCAGUAAGAGACAACUUAGAGGUGACACCUCAUUUAGGAGAGACUCAAAGGCAGCAUUCAUUAAACCCUCACUUGGACAAAUGGCAAAUGAUCGCAUCUUCGAACAAUAAAAGAUGCAGUUAACCAGCAUAGAGAAGAGUUUGUGCUACAACACCUAAUUGCUUCUUAUUUUACUCACACACUGCCACUUCCGGCUUCUUGCUGGUUAGUUGGAUGUAAGGGUCACAUGGUCUUUUCUGCUUGGGCUGUCUUUCACCUUCAGUCCUUGGAUCUCUGUCUUUCAAGUGGCUAGGAUGACAGGCAUGAGCCACCAGAGCCCAGCCUCAUAUAUUAGUUUUAAAUGAUGAUUUUAAUACCUAUGAUUUGAAAUCUAGAAAAGUUAGGAUUUCAAAGACUAAAAAAUAUGCUGGACAAAAUUAAAUAUGAAUGGAAAACCA